AGGCCAGUAGCUCAACUGGUAGAGCGGCGGUCUCCAAAACCGCAGGUUGGGGGUUCGAGUCCCUCCUGGCCUG
rnacentral:tRNA from 3 species